rnacentral:rRNA from 1 species
CCCUUAGAUGUCCGGGGCUGCACGCGCGCCACACUGAGUGGAUCAGCGUGUGUCUACCCUUCGCCGAGAGGCGUGGGUAACCCGCUGAACCCCACUCGUGAUAGGGAUUGGGGAUUGCAAUUAUUUCCCAUGAACGAGGAAUUCCCAGUAAGCGCGGGUCAUAAGCUCGCGUUGAUUAAGUCCCUGCCCUUUGUACACACCGCCCGUCGCUACUACCGAUUGGAUGGUUUAGUGAGGUCCUCGGAUCGGCCCCGCCGGGGUCGGUCACGGCCCUGGCGGAGCGCCGAGAAGACGAUCAAACUUGACUAUCUAGAGGAAGGAGAAGUCGUAACA